rnacentral:rRNA from 1 species
GGUUUAAUUCGAAGCAACGCGAAGAACCUUACCAAGUCUUGACAUCCCGAUGACAGAGUAUGUAAUGUACUUUCUCUUCGGAGCAUCGGUGACAGGUGGUGCAUGGUUGUCGUCAGCUCGUGUCGUGAGAUGUUGGGUUAAGUCCCGCAACGAGCGCAACCCCUGUUCUUAGUAGCCAGCGGUUCGGCCGGCACUCUAGGGAGACUGCCAGGGAUAACCUGGA